UGGGGAAUAUUGGACAAUGGGCGAAAGCCUGAUCCUGCCAUGCCGCGUGUGUGAAGAAGGUCUUCGGAUUGUAAAGCACUUUAAGUUGGGAGGAAGGGCAGUAAGCGAAUACCUUGCUGUUUUGACGUUACCGACAGAAUAAGCACCGGCUAACUCUGUGCCAGCAGCCGCGGUAAUACAGAGGGUGCAAGCGUUAAUCGGAAUUACUGGGCGUAAAGCGCGCGUAGGUGGUUCGUUAAGUUGAAUGUGAAAGCCCCGGGCUCAACCUGGGAACUGCAUCCAAAACUGGCGAGCUAGAGGAGGGCGGAGGGUGGUGGAAUUUCCUGUGUAGCGGAGAAAUGCGUAGAUAUAGGAAGGAGCACCAGUGGCGAAGGCGACCACCUGGGCUCAUACUGACACUGAGGUGCGAAAGCGUGGGGAGCAAACAGG
rnacentral:rRNA from 1 species